rnacentral:rRNA from 1 species
UACGGGGGGGGCAAGCGUUGUUCGGAAUUACUGGGCGUAAAGGGCUCGUAGGCGGCCAACUAAGUCAGACGUGAAAUCCCUCGGCUUAACCGGGGAACUGCGUCCGAUACUGGAUGGCUUGAAUCCGGGAGAGGGAUGCGGAAUUCAGGUGUAGCGGUGAAAUGCGUAGAUAUCAGGAGGAACACCGGUGGCGAAGGCGGUUCUCUGGGCAUGAUCUGACGCUGAGGAGCGAAAGUGUGGGGAGCGAACAGG